rnacentral:rRNA from 1 species
UACGAAGGGGGGCUAGCGUUGCUCGGAAUCACUGGGCGUAAAAGCGCACGUAGGCGGAUCUUUAAGUCAGGGGUGAAAUCCCAAGGCUCAACCUUGGAACUGCCUUUGAUACUGGGGAUCUCGAGUCCGGAAGAGGUGAGUGGGAACUGCGAGUGUAGAGGUGAAAUUUGUAGAUAUUCGCAAGAACACCAGUGGCGAAGGCGGCUCACUGGUCCGGUACUGACGCUGAGGUGCGAAAGCGUGGGGAGCAACA